CCCCAUCAGAUUUCCCCCCCCCAUUCCUGAAACAGGCCCCUUGAGUUCAUCCUCCAGCUGCGGGACAAUCCCCCCCCCCACCCGCCCCCCCCCCCACGCCCCCCCCCCUCCCCCCCCCCCCCCCCCCCACCCCCCCCCCCCACCCCCCCCCCGCCCCCCCCCCUCCCGUUCUCUGACCCCAAAGAAGGUUCCAUCCCCUCCUCCCCCAAAACUGGGGGCUUUGCCCCAUUGACUGACCCCCAAACCCCUCCAUUCACUGACCCACGUUCUCCCUUUCCCAGUUCCCAAAUCCAACCCCCCUCUUUCCAUCCCCCCCAAUUGGGAUUUUCCCAUUCUCCCCCCCCAAACUGGGAUCCCUCCAUCUCUCCAACACUGGGACUGAGUCAUUCCGUGGACCACAAAACUGGACUCCCCCUAUUUCCUUACCCCCCCCCCAACCCAGGACCCCCAUCUUAACACCCCCUUCAACCCAGGGACCCCCAUCUUCUCCCCCCCUCCAAAACCAUGACCCCCAUCUUCACCCCCAACCCAGACCCCCCAUCUUCUCCCCCCCAACCAGGACCCCCAUCUUCUCCCCCCCCAACCCAGGACCCCCAUCUUCUCCAUUCCCCCAACCCAGGACCUCCAUCUUUUACCCCAACCUGGACCCCCAUCUUUUCCCCCCCCAAACCAGGCCCCCCCAUCUUCUCCCCCCCCAACCCACGACCCCCAUCUUUUCCCCCCCCCCAAACCCCAGGACCCCCAUCUUCUCCCCCCCCAACCCAGACCCCAUUCUUCACCCCCCCCAAUACCAGACCCCCAUCUUCACCCCAAACCCUGGACCCCCAUCUUCUCCCCCCCCCCAAACCCGGGGACCCCCAAUAAGUUCUCCAUCCCCCAACCAGGACCCCAUCUUCUCCAUCCCCCAAACCCAGGACCCCAUCUUCACCCCCAACCUGGGACCCCCAUCUUCACCCCCCAACCUGGGACCCCCCAUCUUCACCCCCAACCUGGGACCCCAUCUUCUCCCCCCCCAACCACAACCCCCAUCUUCUCCCCCCCCCCCAACCAGGACCCCCAUCUUCUCCAUCCCCAAACCAGGAACCCCCAUCUUCACUCCCAACCCGGACCCCCCAUCUUCUCCCCCCAAACCAAAGGCCCCCCAUCUUCUCCCCCCCCAACCAUGACCCCCAUCUUCUCCCCCCCAACCCCAUGCCCCCAUCUUCUCCAUCCCCCAAACCAGGGCCCCCAUCUUCUUCCCUCCCGCCCAAACCAGGACCCCCAUCUUCUCCCAUCCCCAAAAACGGACCCCCAUCUUCUCCAUCCCCCAACCCGGGACCCCAUUUUCUCCCCCCCCAACCCAGGGCCCCCCAUCUUCUCCCCCCCCCAGCCCAGGACCCCCAUCUUUCCCCCCCCAACCCAUGACCCCCAUCUUCUCCCCCCCCAACCCAGGCCCCCCAUCUUCUUCCCCCCCCAGCCAGGACCCCCAUCUUCUCCACCCCCCAACCAUGACCCCCAUCUUUUCUACCCCCAGACACAGGGACC
rnacentral:lncRNA from 1 species